rnacentral:rRNA from 1 species
CCCCUAGAUGUUCUGGGCCGCACGCGCGCUACACUGAACAGUUCAACAAGUCUUAACCUUGGCCGAUAGGUCUGGGUAAUCUUUGAACGCUGUUCGUGAUUGGGAUAGACCUUUGCAAUUAUGGGUCUUCAACGAGGAAUUCCUAGUAAACGCAAGUCAUCAGCUAGCAUUGAUUACGUCCCUGCCCUUUGUACACACCGCCCGUCGCACCUACCGAUUGAAUGGUCCGGUGAAAUCUCGGGACGGCGGCUUGGUCGCUUGCGUCCGACUGCUGAAACUUGAUUAAACCAUAUCAUUUAGAGGAAGGUGAAGUCGUAACA